AGAGGAGGAACUGCAGCAGAAUCUGUGGGGACUCAAGAUCAACAUGGAAGAAGAGAGUGAAAGUGAAAGUGAGCAAAGUAUGGAUUCUGAGGAGCCGGACAGCCGGGGAGGCUCCCCUCAGAUGGAUGACAUCAAAGUGUUCCAGAAUGAAGUUUUAGGAACACUACAGCGGGGCAAAGAGGAGAACAUUUCUUGUGACAAUCUCGUCCUGGAAAUCAACUCUCUCAAGUAAGAGCAGCCCCUCCCUGUUCUCCUCGGGGUGAUCCCGGGAAGGUAGAGGCUUUCUCGUAAGUGUUUUGUCUCCAAAUAGGAACCUAUUCCUUCGACAUCCCAAAUGGAAAGACCAAUAGUAUUUGGAGCAAGGAGAGCAUUAUUAAGUUCUAGCCUCAGCAUAGACUUUCUCCUUCCUAAACCCUCCCCUUCUAUAUUGUUCCAUCCAGAUUCCUCUCCAAUGUCUAUCAAAGUCAUAGUUCUAAGCCUGCUGAAAGGCCAGUGAAGGCCCUGGUGUCACCCCAGUCUCCCCACAGGUAUGCCUAUAACAUAAGUCUAAAGGAGGUGAUGCAGGUACUGAGCCACGUGGUCCUGGAGUUCCCCCUGCAACAGAUGGAUUCCCCGCUUGACUCAAGCCGCUACUGUGCCCUGCUGCUUCCUCUGCUAAAGGCCUGGAGCCCUGUUUUUAGGAACUACAUAAAGCGCGCAGCCGACCAUUUGGAAGCGUUAGCAGCCAUUGAGGACUUCUUCUUAGAGCAUGAAGCUCUUGGUAUUUCCAUGGCCAAGGUACUGAUGGCUUUCUACCAGCUGGAGAUCCUGGCUGAGGAAACAAUUCUGAGCUGGUUCAGCCAAAGAGAUACAACUGACAAGGGCCGGCAGUUGCGCAAGAAUCAACAGCUGCAGAGGUUCAUCCAGUGGCUAAAAGAGGCAGAAGAGGAGUCAUCUGAAGAUGACUGAAGUCACACUGCCUGCUCCUUUGGGUGUGACUGAGUGCCCUCCUGGCUCCUGGGCUGGGACAAGUGAGGAACUAGCUGCAGAGGGAUGAGUGACCACCAUCCAGGCUGAGACUGAAAGGAGCAGAGGCUGGAACUACAGUAUUCUUUCCCCUGCUAGCAACCAUGUGCCUCCCAUCCUGACGGUGGAGUUGGGAUGUGGAAGUGGGGCUGGAACAAAGCUUCUGCCUAGGGAGGAGCUAAGCAGGCCCGGCAGUUGGAGGAAGGCCAGAGGAACAGCUUUGUGCUCCGGCUUUCCCUCAGGGAACAGCAGAGAGCAGUUGGCUCUUUCUGCUGCUUGUAUAUGUUAAUAUUAAAAGAGAGAGU
rnacentral:sRNA from 1 species